rnacentral:tRNA from 8 species
CCGGAAUAGCUCAGUUGGUAGAGCAGAGGACUGAAAAUCCUCGUGUCACCA